rnacentral:rRNA from 1 species
UGCGGAAGGAUCAUUAUUGAAUACGAUUGGUGCUGUUGCUGGCUUCUUCACUGGAGGCAUGCUGCACGCCCAUUCUAUUUAUCUUCUCUUGUGCACAUUUUGUAGUCUUGAAUCGAAACUUCUCGCAGCAAUGCGGUUUGGGAGAUUGGUGCUUCACGGUGGCCUUCUCCUGCUUCUUCAAGGCUACGUUUUCAUAUACACGUUAAAGUUACAGAAUGUCUUUUAACGAUUGUGCUUGUCGCAGUCAUUAAACCUAUACAACUUUCAGCAACGGAUCUCUUGGCUCUCCCAUCGAUGAAGAACGCAGCGAAAUGCGAUAAGUAAUGUGAAUUGCAGAAUUCAGUGAAUCAUCGAAUCUUUGAACGCACCUUGCGCCCUUUGGUAUUCCGAAGGGCAUGCCUGUUUGAGUGUCAUUAAAUUAUCAACCUUGUUCGCUUUUCGGAGCUUGAGCUAGGCUUGGAUGUGAGGGUUUUUGCUGGCUUCCUUCAGUGGAUGGUCUGCUCCCUUUAAAUGCAUUAGUGGGAUCUCUUUUGUGGACCGUCACUUGGUGUGAUAAUUAUCUAUGCCAUUGACUUGCUUAACGAGAAUCUGCUUAUAACCGUCUCGCAAGGGACAACAACUUUAUUGACAAUUUGACCUCAAAUCAGGUAGGACUACCCGCUGAACUUAAGCAUAUCAAUA